UUGAUGAAGAGAGAAAGUGUGUCCGAAGCAAUUGAGCGCUCUCUGCGUGGGGUCUUCCCAGCCCAUUGGUACCGGUUGAAUCAAGAUGGAGCGAGUUUGGAGAUGUACAUCAAAGCUUCUCCUGCUUCACAUGUCUCCAAAGCGUUCCUUGGCUGCCAGGGAAGAAGAGCGUCACACUCAUGGUGAACACUGAUAAUUAAAGUCAACAUCUCAGCACACUGAGUCAAUUUAUUGAACACCUUUUUUUAUUGCUAGGAACCUCCAGUACUGUGCUUCUCUCUUGGUCGUGACCUAUUUCCCAAGUGAUGCAGGAGGGUCGUUCAACCUCAAUGACUAGAAGCAGCAAAAACAUCUGAUCUCCCUUCGACAAAGACAAACAGCAGACCAGAAGGAAAAUUGAG